AGAGUUUGAUCCUGGCUCAGAUUGAACGCUGGCGGCAUGCCUUACACAUGCAAGUCGAACGGCAGCACGGGAGCUUGCUCCUGGUGGCGAGUGGCGAACGGGUGAGUAAUAUAUCGGAACGUGCCCUAGAGUGGGGGAUAACUAGUCGAAAGAUUAGCUAAUACCGCAUACGAUCUAAGGAUGAAAGUGGGGGAUCGCAAGACCUCAUGCUCGUGGAGCGGCCGAUAUCUGAUUAGCUAGUUGGUGAGGUAAAGGCUCACCAAGGCGACGAUCAGUAGCUGGUCUGAGAGGACGACCAGCCACACUGGAACUGAGACACGGUCCAGACUCCUACGGGAGGCAGCAGUGGGGAAUUUUGGACAAUGGGCGCAAGCCUGAUCCAGCAAUGCCGCGUGAGUGAAGAAGGCCUUCGGGUUGUGAAGCUCUUUUGUCAGGGAAGAAACGGUAGAGGCUAAUAUCCUUUGCUAAUGACGGUACCUGAAGAAUAAGCACCGGCUAACUACGUGCCAGCAGCCGCGGUAAUACGUAGGGUGCAAGCGUUAAUCGGAAUUACUGGGCGUAAAGCGUGCGCAGGCGGUUGUGCAAGACAGAUGUGAAAUCCCCGGGCUCAACCUGGGAAUUGCAUUUGUGACUGCACAGCUAGAGUGUGUCAGAGGGGGGUAGAAUUCCACGUGUAGCAGUGAAAUGCGUAGAUAUGUGGAGGAAUACCGAUGGCGAAGGCAGCCCCCUGGGAUAACACUGACGCUCAUGCACGAAAGCGUGGGGAGCAAACAGGAUUAGAUACCCUGGUAGUCCACGCCCUAAACGAUGUCUACUAGUUGUCGGGUCUUAAUUGACUUGGUAACGCAGCUAACGCGUGAAGUAGACCGCCUGGGGAGUACGGUCGCAAGAUUAAAACUCAAAGGAAUUGACGGGGACCCGCACAAGCGGUGGAUGAUGUGGAUUAAUUCGAUGCAACGCGAAAAACCUUACCUACCCUUGACAUGUACGGAAUCCUGAAGAGAUUUGGGAGUGCUCGAAAGAGAGCCGUAACACAGGUGCUGCAUGGCUGUCGUCAGCUCGUGUCGUGAGAUGKUGGGUUAAGUCCCGCAACGAGCGCAACCCUUGUCAUUAGUUGCUACGAAAGGGCACUUCUAAUGAGACUGCCGGUGACAAACCGGGGGAAGGUGGGGAUGACGUCAAGUCCUCAUGGCCCUUAUGGGUAGGGCUUCACACGUCAUACAAUGGUACAUACAGAGGGCCGCCAACCCGCGAGGGGGAGCUAAUCCCAGAAAGUGUAUCGUAGUCCGGAUUGGAGUCUACAACUCGACUCCAUGAAGUUGGAAUCGCUAGUAAUCGCGGAUCAGCAUGUCGCGGUGAAUACGUUCCCGGGUCUUGUACACACCGCCCGUCACACCAUGGGAGCGGGUUCUGCCAGAAGUAGUUAGCCUAACCGCAAGGAGGGCGAUUACCACGGCAGGGUUCGUGACUGGGGUGAAGUCGUAACAAGGUAGCCGUA
rnacentral:rRNA from 1 species